rnacentral:rRNA from 1 species
AUUGAACGCUGGCGGCAUGCCUUACACAUGCAAGUCGAACGGUAACGGGCCUUCGGGCGCCGACGAGUGGCGAACGGGUGAGUAAUGUAUCGGAACGUACCUUUCAGUGGGGGAUAACGUAGCGAAAGUUACGCUAAUACCGCCUAUUCUGUGAGCAGGAAAGCAGGGGAUCGCAAGACCUUGCGCUGAUUGAGCGGCCGAUAUCAGAUUAGCUAGUUGGUGAGGUAAAGUCUCACCAAGGCGACGAUCUGUAGCGGGUCUGAGAGGAUGAUCCGCCACACUGGAACUGAGACACGGUCCAGACUCCUACGGGAGGCAGCAGUGGGGAAUUUUGGACAAUGGGGGCAACCCUGAUCCAGCCAUGCCGCGUGAGUGAAGAAGGCCUUCGGGUUGUAAAGCUCUUUCGGCCGGGAAGAAAUCGUAUGGGUUAAUACCCUGUGCGGAUGACGGUACCGGCAUAAGAAGCACCGGCUAACUACGUGCCAGCCGCCGCGGUAACAC